AACGUAGGGGGCUAGCGUUGUUCGGAAUUACUGGGCGUAAAGAGCACGUAUGCGGAUUUGUAAGUCAGGGGUGAAAUCCCGGGGCUCAACCUCGGAACUGCCUUUGAUACUGCAAGUCUAGAGUCCGGAAGAGGUGGGUGGAAUUCCUAGUGUAGAGGUGAAAUUCGUAGAUAUUAGGAAGAACACCGGUGGCGAAGGCGGCCCACUGGUCCGGUACUGACGCUGAGGUGCGAAAGCGUGGGGAGCAAACAGG
rnacentral:rRNA from 1 species